rnacentral:rRNA from 1 species
UGAAUACGAGACGCUAAGGCGUCGAAGUAGUGUAUGUCAUACUUCCAAGAAAAGCUUGCACUGUCAUAGAUAAAAAACGCCUGUACCAUAACCGACACAGGUGGGUAGGUAGAGUAUACUAAGGGGCGCGAGAUAACUCUCUCUAAGGAACUCGGCAAAAUAACUCCGUAACUUCGGGAGAAGGAGUGCCUUAUUCGUAAGGUUGCAAUAACAAGAUCCAAGCAACUGUUUAUCAAAAACACAGGUCUCCGCUAAGUCGUAAGACGAUGUAUGGGGGCUGACGCCUGCCCAGUGCCAGAAGGUUAAAGAAGUUGGUUAGCAAUUGCGAAGCUGAUAACUGAAGCCCUGGUGAACGGCGGCCGUAACAAUAACGGUCCUAAGGUAGCGAAAUUCCUUGUCGGGUAAGUUCCGACCCGCACGAAAGGCGUAAUGAUUUGGAUACUGUCUCGGAGAGGGGCUCGGUGAAAUAGACUUGUCUGUGAAGAUGCGGACUACCUGCACCAGGACAGAAAGACCCUAUGAAGCUUUACUGUAACUUGAAAUUGAAAUUGGACUUUAUUCGCGCAGUAUAGGUGGGAGGCGUUGAUUAUAAUCUUGUGGGAUUAUUGGAGCCAUCAGUGAGAUACCACUCUUGUAAUGUUAGAUUUCUAACUUUGAAUCAUUAUCUGGUCAAAGAACAGUUUCAGGCGGGCAGUUUGACUGGGGCGGUCGCCUCCUAAACGGUAACGGAGGCGUACAAAGGUUUCCUCUGAACGGUUAGAAAUCGUAUCUAGAGUGUAAAGGCAUAAGGAAGCUUGACUGUGAGACCUACAAGUCGAGCAGGGACGAAAGUCGGUUUUAGUGAUCUGACGGUACUGAGUGGAAAGGCCGUCACUCAACGGAUAAAAGUUACUCUAGGAUAACAGGCUGAUCUCCCCCAAGAGUUCACAUCGACGGGGAGGUUUGGCACCUCGAUGUCGGCUCAUCGCAUCCUGGGGCGGUAGUACGUCCCAAGGGUUGGGCUGUUCGCCCAUGAAAGCGGUACGCGAGCUGGGUUCAGAACGUCGUGAGACAGUUCGGUCCAUAUCCGGUGUAGGCGUUAGAAUAUUGAGAGGAGCCUUCUUUAGUACGAGAGGACCGAGAAGGACAUACCUCUGGUGUACCAGUUAUCGUGCCAACGGUAAACGCUGGGUAGCUAUGUAUGGAGUGGAUAACCGCUGAAAGCAUCUAAGUGGGAAACCCACCUCAAGAUAAGUAUUCUCAUCA